rnacentral:rRNA from 1 species
UAAGUCUCGGCUAACUACGUGCCAGCAGCCGCGGUAAAACGUAGGAGGCAAGCGUUAUCCGGAGUUACUGGGCGUAAAGGGUGCGUAGGCGGCUCAUCAAGUGGGACGUGAAAGCUCACGGCUAAACUGUGAGAGGACGACUCAGACUGAAGGGCUAGAGGGUGUCAGAGGCGUGCGGAAUUCGGGGUGUAGCGGUGAAAUGUGUAGAGAUCCCGAGGAACACCAGUGGUGCAAACGGCGCGCUGGGACACAACUGACGCUGAAGCACGAAAGCGUGGGGAGCGAACGGGAUUAGAGACCCCGGUAGUCCACGCCGUAAACGAUGUCAACUAGGUGUSUGCAAGGGGAAACCUGAGUGGGUGUCAAAGCUAACGCGAUAAGUUGACCGCCUGGGGAGUACGGUCGCAAGGCUAAAACUCAAAGGAAUUGACGGGGGCCCGCACAAGCAGCGGAGCGUGUGGUUUAAUUCGAGGCUACGCGAAGAGCCUUACCUGGGUUUGACAUCACGGUGGUAGGGCGACGAAAGUCAACCGACCUUCGGGAGCCGUGACAGGUGCUGCAUGGCUGUCGUCAGCUCGUGUCGUGAGAUGUUCGGUUAAGUCCGAAAACGAGCGCAACCCUCGGCGUUAGUUACACGUGUCUAACGCGACCGCCCUCGAGAAGGGGGAGGAAGGUGGGGAUGACGUCAAGUCAGCAUGGCCUUUAUAUCCAGGGCUACACACACGCUACAAUGGGGGACACAAUGGGCAGCGAAGGGGCGACCUGGAGCCAAUCCACCAAAGUCUUUCGUAGUUCGGAUUGCAGGCUGCAACUCGCCUGCAUGAAGCUGGAGUUGCUAGU